CGUCCAGUUGCCCCUUGAAAAAGCACAUUUGGGACAGUAGCUUUGAGUGUCUCAUGUUUUUCUGCCUUUUCUCUUGAGCAACUCGACUUCUUUCCUAAAAAAGCAUGGCUUCCCUUAGUGACAAGACGAUGAGUGUCUUGUCACAAUCUUAGAGCCAGACAAGUCACGAACGAUGGGUUGCUUAGUCAAGAUUGCCCAUCCAACAUGUUGCACAGCUGUUGAGUUCUGUCUUAAAGUAGCUUGGACAAAACCAUCACGGGAGAGGGGGAGAGGUGUUGACAGUGGUAAUGCCCUAACUCUGCAUGUCAUUGAUCAGGAAAGCUGGUUGGAACUGCUAUAAAACAUGGUCACAUAGUUUUGGCCACACUGCUGAAGUUUGGCAGCGCACUUAUAUGAAAAAUCUACUUUUGUCGCUCAGAACAGGCAAAACUUUCAAAGGGAACUCCCUUCCCCCUGCUCCACCUCCUCAAAUGGGGAAGUUCUCACCUACUUUGCAAAUUCACACACUGAAAUUGCCCCACCCCAUUGAACUGGCACAGAUUUCUCAUUUUUACUGGCAACUUUAAGACUUGUGGAAAGCUGGCUGAGGAAUUCUGGGAGUUGAAGUCCACAAGUCUUAAUGUUGCCAAGGUUGAGAACCCCUGCUUAAGGGAUCUUGACUUUCUCUGACCCCAACCCACCUCCCAGUAGUGAAGCUUGAAACAGAGGGAGGGGUGCUGAUGAUUGCCAAUUUCUCAUCCUUACUCUCAGUAUUCAAGACCACGCGUGCACGCAGCGUCCGCCUGGAGAUUCCCCCACCCCGCUCACCUGUUUUACUCAAAAGAGGAAGCUGCAAACAACUUCUGAAUCAAAGAUGCAACAAAAUUCUUAAACUAGCUCCCUUUUCUGCUCUUCAGUUCUACCCUUCGGAUGAACGCUAGUUCCUACCGCAGCAGUAGAGGCCAACGAACAAACCAGAUACUGCCAGUUGUACGAGAAGGAGACAACUGACACCGGUCCACAUUUGCCAAAAGAAAAUGCCAACAAGAAGGAGAGAAAGGUAAAAUCUAGGCCGCUUCUUUAAAAAGUAGAAGUGGCUAAGUUCCUCCUAGCAUUCUCCUAACAGGAAACCUUUUUUUUCCUCUUCUCUAAUUAGAUGUUUCGUUUUGACUACCAAGAACACGCGUUGCAUAUGAAUUUGGGGCACAAUAUGUGGUCUCUACAUAUAUAUAUAUACAUCUUUGGCCUGAUGGAAGACUUUUAUAAACGCCUGUUAUCUGUCUGCUCUGAACAUCUGGCUACGCUUACAUGAUGUGGCCUUUCAGCUCACAGAUCUGUUUUAAUUACCAAUAUAAAAAAGCAGAGUAGAAAAAAUGGAAACGGACCCACUCCCCCUUCCCAGAGGUGUGGUACAACACAGCUGGCACUGCUACAGAGAAGUUUAGCCAGGAAAAAGCCAAACAUACUGUUGGUUGAAUAUACAGACAAUGGGCAGAAUUCCUCAGCGGGGAAGAGGUCAUAGUUGGGUAAAGGAACACAUGCUUUGCAUGCAAAAGACCCCUGAUGUGGAUCCCUGGCAUCUCUCGACUUCCCGAGAAUGGCCCUAGCAAGUCAACACAACCGCCUCGAUGCACAGAAUCUUAGGCUUAACUGUACGAUCUACACAUGGGGUUUUUCUCUCUUCUAACCUUUGGGUAUUUCAAGCGCAAUAGAGUUGGUACAGAACGGGACAACUCGCCACAGCCAACUCAUCGUGGCCAACAACGCGAGACAACACAACCAAUAAAAAUAAAAUAAAAUGAAUUUCGACGGAACCGUGACCCAUCAUCAAAAAAGAAAAGUCAAUCCAGAAAUACAAGAGUGAACAAUAUUUACGGAGGUUCUCGGUCCUCCAGAUCAUGGUAAUCCCAGAGAUGUUUUUGUUUUUUCAAAAAGCAACUGAAGAAGCUUCUUGGAUGAGAAGUGAAACGUCUUCAAAGAAAAACAACAAAGACCAGUUGCCUCUUGACCUGGAUGAUUGAGAAUCUCCGUAGACGUCUUCAAGGGAAAACAAAAAGUCCAGUUGCCUUUUGAAAAAGCACCUUUGGGAGAAGAGUUACAAUAAUUUCAAGGAAAACAGGGUCACCAAUCAUCCAAGUAACUGAACGGAAGGAUUAAUACAGCAUUGAAUUGACCCAUGGUGAUUUGGCUGCAGCAAGUUGUCCUAGACCCAAGUUGGUAGACAUCCUGCUCCGCAGUAGGAUUUUUGAAGGUCUGAAGGGCAACAGGGCUGGGUCUUCCUCAGACAGCCCUUGCUACUCCUUCAUCCUCAGCCUUGGUGGCCUGGAGACAGGAACCCCGUGGAGACUUUGUCUGGGCCAUUGUUGCUCAGGGAAAGAACUAAACCAGGGCACAAGAACUUAAGUCUUGACUUUUGGGGAAGACUGCGCUGUUGAUCAUGGUCUGGGGAGGCAGUAACAGUCACUGUUGCUCUUUGCACCUGAUGUUAGGUAGUCCUUCCAUUGGACUAUCUAAAAUUUACAUUAAGGCAUAACCAUUUACCAAAUUCAUACAAAAAGACUUUGGGGAAGGGAAGUACUUCACAGGUUUAUCAACUGCCACAUCUUGAAAACCUGGUAGCUUUUGUUCCUUAACGUAACACUCGGGACAAUUAUUUUUUGUUUUGGUUUUUUUGUUCAUAGAAUCUGCAAUACAUAACAUUUUUCAAACAUCUAUGUGGGGUAGCGGAAUUCCUCCGAGACACAGUAUUUCAAGAUGGAGAUCAGUGGCAGGACAGCAAUAGAAAGACAACGAAACAGACAAUUUUUACACCUACAGUAACGUUUCCCCAUAAUUGGCUGAAA